AGAAAUACAGGGCAAAUGGUUCCAUCUUGUUGCAUUGGAGCAUUUGGAAAGAGGAAUCUGAGGUGUUUUUAUGGAGUCUCAACUCCAAUACAUGUAUCGAAGACUAGACGCUUAUUGAAUCUCUUUGCUUGGUGUAAUAAUUGUAAUGUAAAUACUGCUCUUAUGCUUUUGAAUUUUUGUAAGCUCCUUGAAUUUUAGAUAGGAGUGUACAGGUGCU
rnacentral:lncRNA from 1 species